AUGAAAUCUCUGUUGCUUUUCCUUUUCCUGUUCUCUACCCCCACCAGUGUCCUCUGUCAGGUGCAGCUGGUCCAGUCCGGCUCGGGGGCGGUAAAGCCCGGAGAGACCCUCACACUGACCUGCGCUGUCUCUGGGUUCUCCAUCACUACUCAGUAUUACUAUUGGCACUGGAUCCGGCAGCCCCCUGGGAAAGGGCUGGAGUGGAUGGGGUAUGUGUACCCGUAUAGUAGCGGGAGCACAAGCUACGCCCCGUCUCUCCAAGGCCGAAUCACCAUCUCUGCGGACACUGCCAAGAGCCAGUUCUCCCUGCAGUUCCGCUCGCUGACAGCUGCAGACACCGCCACCUAUUACUGCGCCAGAGACACAGUGACACAGAGCACAGCGGGACUGGCACGAAAAAGGGAAGCAGUUUCUAAAUAG